UACGAAGGGGGCUAGCGUUGCUCGGAAUCACUGGGCGUAAAGCGCACGUAGGCGGACUCUUAAGUCGGUGGUGAAAUCCUGGAGCUCAACUCCAGAACUGCCUUUGAUACUGAGAGACUUGAGUCCGGGAGAGGUGAGUGAACUGCGAGUGUAGAGGUGAAAUUCGUAGAUAUUCGCAAGAACACCAGUGGCGAAGGCGGCUCACUGGCCCGGUACUGACGCUGAGGUGCGAAAGCGUGGGGAGCAAACAGG
rnacentral:rRNA from 1 species